rnacentral:rRNA from 1 species
AGAAGAGACAUGCGCGCAUAUCAAUAAGCGGAGGAAAAGAAACUAACAAGGAUUCCCUUAGUAACGGCGAGUGAAGCGGGAAGAGCUCAAAUUUGAAAUCUUCAAGGUUCUACCUUGACGAAUUGUAGUUUAUAGAAGUGUUUUCUGUUAGUGGAGUGGCAAAAGUUCUUUGGAAUAGGACAUCAUAGAGGGUGAGAAUCCCGUAUUUGGUCAUUCCUCCUAGCGUUGUGAUACACUUUCAACGAGUCGGAUUGUUUGGGAAUGCAGUCCAAAAUGGGUGGUAAAUUUCAUCUAAAGCUAAAUAUUGGCGAGAGACCGAUAGCGAACAAGUACCGUGAGGGAAAGAUGAAAAGAACUUUGAAAAGAGAGUUAAACAGUACGUGAAAUUGUCAAAAGGGAAGCGUUUGACACCAGUGUUGUUUUUCCGAAAAUCAAUUACGAAUGUUUUAUUUUUGAGGAGUUAUGACUUCAUCGGCUUGCUCCUUUCUUUACGAAACUUUCUUAAUGCACCUUUCGGUUAACAAGUCAACAUCAAUUUCUUUUGUCGUAAAAGGGUAUGAGGAAGGUGGCUUUCUUUUCGGAGAAAGUGUUUAUAGCCUUGUGCCUCUGCAAUCGGAGAGAUUGAGGUCUGCAGCGUAGAUCCUUCGGGGUUAGAUACGUUUGUGCUAAGUUAUAGCCUUUUCAUAGACAACUUGUUGACUAUGAUUCAGUCAUGUAGCUUACUCGCUGAUGCUAUUUUACCUACGCUUAGGAUGUUGAUAGUCACAGCGUGUAC